rnacentral:rRNA from 1 species
CUGUGAGCUCGAUGAGUAGGGCGGGACACGUGGUAUCCUGUCUGAAUAUGGGGGGACCAUCCUCCAAGGCUAAAUACUCCUGACUGACCGAUAGUGAACCAGUACCGUGAGGGAAAGGCGAAAAGAACCCCGGCGAGGGGAGUGAAAAAGAACCUGAAACCGUGUACGUACAAGCAGUGGGAGCACGCUUAGGCGUGUGACUGCGUACCUUUUGUAUAAUGGGUCAGCGACUUAUAUUCUGUAGCAAGGUUAACCGAAUAGGGGAGCCGAAGGGAAACCGAGUCUUAACUGGGCGUUAAGUUGCAGGGUAUAGACCCGAAACCCGGUGAUCUAGCCAUGGGCAGGUUGAAGGUUGGGUAACACUAACUGGAGGACCGAACCGACUAAUGUUGAAAAAUUAGCGGAUGACUUGUGGCUGGGGGUGAAAGGCCAAUCAAACCGGGAGAUAGCUGGUUCUCCCCGAAAGCUAUUUAGGUAGCGCCUCGUGAAUUCAUCUCCGGGGGUAGAGCACUGUUUCGGCAAGGGGGUCAUCCCGACUUACCAACCCGAUGCAAACUGCGAAUACCGGAGAAUGUUAUCACGGGAGACACACGGCGGGUGCUAACGUCCGUCGUGAAGAGGGAAACAACCCAGACCGCCAGCUAAGGUCCCAAAGUCAUGGUUAAGUGGGAAACGAUGUGGGAAGGCCCAGACAGCCAGGAUGUUGGCUUAGAAGCAGCCAUCAUUUAAAGAAAGCGUAAUAGCUCACUGGUCGAGUCGGCCUGCGCGGAAGAUGUAACGGGGCUAAACCAUGCACCGAAGCUGCGGCAGCGACGCUUAUGCGUUGUUGGGUAGGGGAGCGUUCUGUAAGCCUGCGAAGGUGUGCUGUGAGGCAUGCUGGAGGUAUCAGAAGUGCGAAUGCUGACAUAAGUAACGAUAAAGCGGGUGAAAAGCCCGCUCGCCGGAAGACCAAGGGUUCCUGUCCAACGUUAAUCGGGGCAGGGUGAGUCGACCCCUAAGGCGAGGCCGAAAGGCGUAGUCGAUGGGAAACAGGUUAAUAUUCCUGUACUUGGUGUUACUGCGAAGGGGGGACGGAGAAGGCUAUGUUGGCCGGGCGACGGUUGUCCCGGUUUAAGCGUGUAGGCUGGUUUUCCAGGCAAAUCCGGAAAAUCAAGGCUGAGGCGUGAUGACGAGGCACUACGGUGCUGAAGCAACAAAUGCCCUGCUUCCAGGAAAAGCCUCUAAGCAUCAGGUAACAUCAAAUCGUACCCCAAACCGACACAGGUGGUCAGGUAGAGAAUACCAAGGCGCUUGAGAGAACUCGGGUGAAGGAACUAGGCAAAAUGGUGCCGUAACUUCGGGAGAAGGCACGCUGAUAUGUAGGUGAAGCGACUUGCUCGUGGAGCUGAAAUCAGUCGAAGAUACCAGCUGGCUGCAACUGUUUAUUAAAAACACAGCACUGUGCAAACACGAAAGUGGACGUAUACGGUGUGACGCCUGCCCGGUGCCGGAAGGUUAAUUGAUGGGGUCAGCGCAAGCGAAGCUCUUGAUCGAAGCCCCGGUAAACGGCGGCCGUAACUAUAACGGUCCUAAGGUAGCGAAAUUCCUUGUCGGGUAAGUUCCGACCUGCACGAAUGGCGUAAUGAUGGCCAGGCUGUCUCCACCCGAGACUCAGUGAAAUUGAACUCGCUGUGAAGAUGCAGUGUACCCGCGGCAAGACGGAAAGACCCCGUGAACCUUUACUAUAGCUUGACACUGAACAUUGAGCCUUGAUGUGUAGGAUAGGUGGGAGGCUUUGAAGUGUGGACGCCAGUCUGCAUGGAGCCGACCUUGAAAUACCACCCUUUAAUGUUUGAUGUUCUAACGUUGACCCGUAAUCCGGGUUGCGGACAGUGUCUGGUGGGUAGUUUGACUGGGGCGGUCUCCUCCUAAAGAGUAACGGAGGAGCACGAAGGUUGGCUAAUCCUGGUCGGACAUCAGGAGGUUAGUGCAAUGGCAUAAGCCAGCUUGACUGCGAGCGUGACGGCGCGAGCAGGUGCGAAAGCAGGUCAUAGUGAUCCGGUGGUUCUGAAUGGAAGGGCCAUCGCUCAACGGAUAAAAGGUACUCCGGGGAUAACAGGCUGAUACCGCCCAAGAGUUCAUAUCGACGGCGGUGUUUGGCACCUCGAUGUCGGCUCAUCACAUCCUGGGGCUGAAGUAGGUCCCAAGGGUAUGGCUGUUCGCCAUUUAAAGUGGUACGCGAGCUGGGUUUAGAACGUCGUGAGACAGUUCGGUCCCUAUCUGCCGUGGGCGCUGGAGAACUGAGGGGGGCUGCUCCUAGUACGAGAGGACCGGAGUGGACGCAUCACUGGUGUUCGGGUUGUCAUGCCAAUGGCACUGCCCGGUAGCUAAAUGCGGAAGAGAUAAGUGCUGAAAGCAUCUAAGCACGAAACUUGCCCCGAGAUGAGUUCUCCCUGACUCCUUGAGAGUCCUGAAGGAACGUUGAAGACGACGACGUUGAUAGGCCGGGUGUGUAAGCGCAGCGAUGCGUUGAGCUAACCGGUACUAAUGAACCGUGAGGCUUAACCUUACAACGCCGAAGGUGUUU